GACGAACGCUGGCGGCGUGCUUAACACAUGCAAGUCGAACGGAAAGGCCCUGCUUUUGUGGGGUGCUCGAGUGGCGAACGGGUGAGUAACACGUGAGUAACCUGCCCUUGACUUGGGAUAACUUCAGGAAACUGGGGCUAAUACCGGAUAGGAGCUCCUGCUGCAUGGUGGGGGUUGGAAAGUUUCGGCGGUUGGGGAUGGACUCGCGGCUUAUCAGCUUGUUGGUGGGGUAGUGGCUUACCAAGGCUUUGACGGGUAGCCGGCCUGAGAGGGUGACCGGCCACAUUGGGACUAAGAUACGGACCAGACUCCUACGGGGGGCCGCAGUGGGGAGUAUUGCACAAUGGCCGGAAGCCUGAUGCAGCAACGCCGCGUGCGGGAUGACUGCCUUCGGGUUGUAAACCGCUUUCGCCUGUGACGAAGCGUGAGUGACGGUAAUGGGUAAAGAAGCACCGGCUAACUACGUG
rnacentral:rRNA from 1 species